rnacentral:lncRNA from 1 species
CUUCUGACCAAUCCUUUGAUAAUUGGUGGAGAAAAUUUGACUGUGCUGUUAGUGGAGAUUUUAGAUUGGGUCUGAAUUCCCUAGUCAUUUUGGGAGCCUGGAGCAUCUGGCGACAUAGAAAUGACUGUGUUUUUAAUCAGGCACUUCCUAAUGUUAACCUGGCUUUGGCUCUGGCUAGGGGGAGGCUGCUUGGUGGAGUAUGGCAGGAGCCAAGGGAAUUUCCCUGCUCACUGCCAAAGGUUCAGUCUGAUGAACUGCUGUUUGGUCGUUCUUUGUUUUUUCAACCGGUUCUAGUUGUUGGCACAGAAACCCUGCACCUCCUCCCCUCUCCCUCUCCCCUGCUCCAAGGCAGAAGAAGAGCCUUGAGCUACUUCAGCACACACACAUAGCACACUCAGUUUCAGACUUGAACUGAAACUGAAACACUGAAUAUGUGGCAAUGAACUGCCCUUUUCCAUUGCAAUAGGUAGAGUAUAUAUACACAAAACAUGUACCUGCUGGUACACUACUUGGAUGGGACUACACCACUCCAUACAACUACUCUACAUGGCUUAUAUCAGCCAAUACCUACUCUUGUACCUGCCUAUACCAGCCCACUACUCUAGCUGGUGUACUUCUACCAACUAUGGAAGACUAAAUGGCCUAUUGCCAUAUUUCUACAGUGGCAGCUUGAAGCUGACCACUUGAUCCUGCCAACGUAGGGCAAAAUCAAAAGAGGAACAGCAGAUUAUAUCUUAUAAUCUUCCCCUAAUCCUGCUGUUUACUCUUAACCUCCACCAUGCCAAUCUUGCUCCUUAGUUCCAAGAACCGAAGUCGCCCAACUGACUUAGUGAAGAUAUCAGCGAGUUGUCGACCGGUCUCGACGAACUCGAUGACAAUCUGCCUCUCCUCAACGCAAUCACGGAGGAAGUGGAACUUCACAUCGAUGUGUUUGCUUCGGUCAUGGAGGACAGGGUUCUUUGCCAGCGCAAUUGCUGGCUGAUUGUCCACCUUGAGCGCAGGCGGCCGGGGCUCAAUGCCUGUGAGCUCCCCCAGCAGCCAGCGCAUCCACACCAAUUGGCAUGCCGCGGUGGCGGCAGCGACAUAUUCUGCCUCGCAAGUCGAUAGCGCCACCGUCUUCUGCUUCAGCGACUGCCAGGCGACAGGUGCUGCGCCGAGGAGGAUCAACACGCCUGAGGUGCUGCGCCGUCCGUUGACAUCGCCUACCAUGUCCGCGUCACUGAAGGCCGCGAGCUCCAGCUCGCCUCCAUCAGACCCACCGCCUUUAGGGAAGACAAGAGCCUGGUCCACCGACCCCUUGAUGUAGCGCAGCACCCGCUUGACUGCCAUCCAGUGAUCCUCUCGCGGAUCUUCCAUGAACCGGCUCACAUACCCGACCGCGAACGUGAUGUCCGGCCGAGUAUGGGUGAGCCAGCGCAGCCCACCGAUGAUGCUUCGGUAGCGCGUCGUGUCCACCUUUUCCACUGUGCUCUGCUUCGACAGCUUGAUCCGCUCUUCCAUUGGGGUCGCCGCAGGCUUGUAGUUUGCCAUGCCAGCCCGCUCCAGCAGCUUUCGCGCAUAGGCGCGCUACCCCAACGUGACUGCCCUGGUUCCCUGCCUCACCUCGAUGUCGAGGUAGUAGCUCAGCGCACCGAGGUCGGUCAUCUGAAACUGUGCAGCCAUCUCGGCUUUAAGGAUGCGAUGUCCUUCUCCCGCGCACCGGUGACGAUCAAGUCGUCCACGUACACCCCAACGACGAGUUCUUCCUUCCCCCGUCGGCGGGUGUACAAGGCGUGCUCUGUUGCGCACCAUGUGAACCCGAGCUCCGCCAUGGUGGCGUCGAGCUUGGAGUUCCAUGCCCGCGGCGCCUGCCGCAAGCCGUAGAGCGCCUUCCUGAGGCGGAGCACCUUGUGCUCAGCCCCCUUCACGAUGAAGCUUGGGGCCUGCUUGACGAAGACCUCCUCCGUCAAGUCACCGUUGAGGAAAGCGGACUUGACGUCGAGGUGGUGAACUGCCCAGUCCUUGGCCGCCGCCAUAGCCAGCACGAGUCGCACCGACUCCAUGCGUGCCACCGACGCGAACACCUCCUCGAAAUUGAUCCCCUCUCGCUGCACAAACCCCCGAGCGACGAGCCGCGCCUUGUGCUUCACCACCGCGCCGUGCUCGUCCUUCUUCACCUUGUAGACCCAUUUGAGUCCAAUUGGCCGGCAUCCAGCCGGUGGAUCGACCAAAUCCCAGGUCCGAUUUGCUUCAAUCUGCCGCAUUUCCUCGAGCAUAGCACGCCGCCACUUCGGCUCGCGUUCCGCAGCUGCGAAGGUGGCCGGCUCCUCUGUGCUCAUCAUCAUGAGCUCCUCCUCUUCGCCCAGCAGCCGCGCUGCCAAACCUGGAGUUGCUGCAUCACCAAGAACGUUGUCCAUGCGGCGGAAUCGUACCUCCUCGCCGUCGUGGAAGGCAUCCACGAACUCGAUGAUGUCUGGCGGUGGAGUAGCAUACUUGAUUUGAGCCGUCGUCGGAGUCCUCUGCUCCUGUCCCAGAGCAGAGUGAGACAGAGUGCCGCCAGUCAUGGUGGGACUGGGCGGGCUCAGCUUCCCCUGCUGCUGGCGCCCCGUCCCCUGCUUCCCCUGCUCCAGGGGCAGCCGCUACCUCCACGACUCCUAUUGGCGUGUGGACCUGGCUGGUGAUGACCAGUUGCUCGACGACGAAGGACCCACUGAUCCCGUGCGCGCCCUCUCCUACCGCCAUCUCUUCCUCAUCCCAUUUCCAUGCCGCCGCUUCGUCGAACACGACGUCGCGGGACACUAUCACCCUCCCGGUGACUGGAUCGUAGAGCCUGUAGGCUUUUGAUCCUUCCUCGUAGCCGAGGAACACCAUCUUAGUGCUCCUAUCUUCAAGCUUGCUGAGGUCGGGCUUGGUGUUCUUCACGUGCCCGAUGCACCCGAACGUGCGCAUGAAUGCCACGCUUGGCUUGCGGCCAUGUCAAGCCUCGAACGACGUCCUCCCGUUCAAUGCCUUUGUCGAAGCUCUGUUGAGGAUGAACACCGUCGUGCUCACUGCCUCACCCCAGAACGCCGCCGGCAUCCCCUUGGCCUUCAGCAUGCAUCUUGUCAUCCCGACGAUGGUCUGGUUCCGGCGUUCCACCACGCCGUUCUGCUGCGGUGAGUAGGGUGCCGUGAGAUGGCGUUCCACCCCCUCCUCCACGCAGUAGGUGGCGAACUCCACCGCCGUGAACUCUCCGCCACGGUCCGUCCGCAACACCUUCAGUCUCUUCCCAGACUCCGCUUCCACCUUUGCCUUGAAGUGCUUGAUGGCAUCUGCUGCCUCGCCCUUGCUUGCCAGAAGUCAUAGCCACAUAUAGCGACUGCAGUCGUCUACCAGCAGGAGGAAGUACCUCCGCCCGCCGUGCGUGGCCGGAGUGAUAGGCCCGCAUAAGUCACCGUGAACUAGCUCCAGUUUUUCUCCAGCGCGGUACCUUGCCUCCUUGGGGAACGGCAGUCUUCUCUGCUUCCCCACCAGGCAGCUGUCGCAGAGAUCACUGGCGUGUUGGAUCUUGGGCAUCCCCUUCACCAUUGCCGCCAGCCUGCUCAGCGCGUCGAAGUUCAAAUGCCCGAAGCGGCCAUGCCACAGCCACGGCUCCUCCGCGCACUGUGCCGCCAGGCAUACCAGCUCUUCGACCUUCAGGUCCAGCAAGAACAGCCGGUUCUUCGACCUUGUGACCUUAGCCAGCAACCGCCGCUCCUGGUCACGAAUCCGCAUUACGCCUCCCUUGAUCACCACCUCAGCACCGCGCUCGUCCAGCUGCCCGAGGCUGAUGAUGCUCGUCUUCAGCUGUGGGAUCCAGUAGACAUCCAUCAGUGCCCGGUGUUCGCCGUUCCGGCACCGGAACAGAACAGUGCCACGGCCGCGGAUCGCCACCCGGGAGCCAUCGCCAAACUUGACGCUACCGAUGGUUUCUUCGUCCAGCUCGGAGAAGACAGCGCGAUUUCCCGUCAUAUGGUUGCUCGCGCCGGAAUCUAGGUACCAGCGCUGCUCCAGCUCGUCGCCGACCGCCCCCAGUUGGACCUACGCCUGUGGCUCGUCAAGAUCGACGGCACGUGCAGCAGUCCCCUGCUUCGCGUCCGCCUCCCCUGUUUCACCUUGGAACGCGCAGUACUCCCACAACAUGAGAGCGUGCUCGUCGUCGUCGCUAUCCACAGCCGCUAGAUGCUCCUCCUCCUUCUCCGGCUUGCGUUCUGGGCAUUCGCGCGCCCAGUGCCCGACCUUGCCGCACUUGCGACAGGCGUUCGGGUCGGAGAAUUUCUUCUUGCCCUUCUUCUUGUCCGCGGGUCCCUUGCCCUGCUGCUUGCCGCCGCCGCGGUCGCCGCCGCGGCUGGAGCCUUCCCCGGACCGCCGCUUCUCCUUUAUGCGCGCUGUCCACUCCUCCUCGGUCAGCAAAAGCUUAGGCUUCUCCUUCUUCGGCGCCGGCGCGCUGCGGCUCUCUGCCACCCGCAGUCGCCCGGCCACGUCCUCCAGAGACAAUGUGGAGAUGUCCAGCAUCGUCUCGAUGGACAUGGCGAGCUGCGAGUACUUCGCCGGCACGACACAAAGCAGCUUGGUGACGAGGUCCUCGUCCUCCACCUUCUUGCCGUAGGUGGCCAGCUAAGUGGCCAAAGAUUAGAGACGAAGGGUGAAGUCUUCCACCGACUCUCCGGACUUGAACCAGAUGUCGUUGAGCUCCCGGCGCAGCUGCUGAAUCCUUGCUCGCUUGGCUCGGUCCGAGCCGACACGCAGGGACUCCAACAUUUCCCAGGCUUGCUUCGCGGUCUCCUUGGCGCCCAGCGCCUCGUGGUACUCCGCCGGCGUCGAGGCCAUGAGCGCCUCCAUGACCCCCACCUGGGCAUCUUCGCUCUGGUCGUCCUCCUCCACCGCCCGCCACCACUUCCGCGCCCGCAGCUUCCACUUCAUCUGCACCGCCCACUCACCGUAGUUGGUGCAGGUGAGCAUGGGCCAGGAGUUGCUGUCCGCCAUACUCCUUGACCACGCGAACCUCGACAUGCGGCGGCACCGGCUGGAGCUGGCGCUCACCACCCUCCCCGCCGCCGUUCCGGACCGCACUCUCCGCCAUUGCCAGUCGGUGGACCUAGCUACGGCUUGUACGGCUCCGAUACCACUUGUUGGCACAGAAACCCUGCACUGAGGUGAGCAGCACCUGCUCUCCUCCCCUCUCCCUCUCCCCUGCUCCAAGGUAGAAGAAGAGCCUUGAGCUACUUCAGCACACACACAGAGCACACACUCAGUUUCAGACUUGAACUGAAACUGAAACACUGAAUAUGUGGCAAUGAACUGCCCUUUUCCAUUGCAAUAGGUAGAGUAUAUAUACACAAAACAUGUACCUGCUGGUACACUACUUGGAUGGUGACUACACCACUCCAUACAACUACUCUACAGCCAAUACCUACUCUUGUACCUGCCUAUACCAGCCCACUACUCUAGCUGGUGUACUUCUACCAACUAUGGAAGACUAAAUGGCCUAUUGCCAUACUUCUACAGUGGCAGCUUGAAGCUGACCACUUGAUCCUGCCAACGCAGGGCAAAAGCAAAAGAGGAACAGCAGAUUAUAUCUUACACUAGUGUUUGUUUAGCAAUGGUGUGGGUGUGUGGGGAUUGGGUCUAUGUAUGACUCUCUUUUUCUUCUAUUAAUAUAAUAAUACGCAGCUCUCCUGUGUGUUCGAGAAAAAAAAAAGACAACUUGUCGUCAUCUUAGAAUUUAUAGGAAUGAAAAAGUCAAAUCUGUCACUUCCCUUGUUAGUCCGUCAGGAGCCAAUAUUAGAUCUAACAUGACAGGUCACACGCCUUCCA